UGGGGAAUAUUGGACAAUGGGGGCAACCCUGAUCCAGCAAUGCCGCGUGUGUGAAGAAGGUCUUCGGAUUGUAAAGCACUUUCGACGGGGACGAUGAUGACGGUACCCGUAGAAGAAGCCCCGGCUAACUUCGUGCCAGCAGCCGCGGUAAUACGAAGGGGGCUAGCGUUGCUCGGAAUGACUGGGCGUAAAGGGCGUGUAGGCGGUUUACACAGUCAGAUGUGAAAUCCCCGGGCUUAACCUGGGAGCUGCAUUUGAUACGUGUAGACUAGAGUGUGAGAGAGGGUUGUGGAAUUCCCAGUGUAGAGGUGAAAUUCGUAGAUAUUGGGAAGAACACCGGUGGCGAAGGCGGCAACCUGGCUCAUGACUGACGCUGAGCGCGAAAGCGUGGGGAGCAAACAGGUUAGAUACCCUGGUAGUCCACGCCUGUAAACGAUGUGUGCUAGAUGUUGGGUAACUUU
rnacentral:rRNA from 1 species